rnacentral:rRNA from 1 species
GACAGGUGGUGCAUGGUUGUCGUCAGCUCGUGUCGUGAGAUGUUGGGUUAAGUCCCGCAACGAGCGCAACCCCUAUCCUCAGUAGCCAGCAUAUAAGAUGGGCACUCUGGGGAGACUGCCAGGGAUAACCUGGAGGAAGGCGGGGAUGACGUCAAAUCAUCAUGCCCCUUAUGAUUUGGGCUACACACGUGCUACAAUGGCGUAAACAAAGGGAAGCGAACCUGCGAGGGUGGGCAAAUCCCAAAAAUAACGUCCCAGUUCGGACUGUAGUCUGCAACCCGACUACACGAAGCUGGAAUCGCUAGUAAUCGCGGAUCAGAAUGCCGCGGUGAAUACGUUCCCGGGUCUUGUACACACCGCCCGUCACACCAUGGGAGUCAGUAACGCCCGAAGUCAGUGACCUAACCGCAAGGAAGGAGCUGCCGAAGGCGGGACCGAUGACUGGGGUGAAGUCGUAACAAGGUAGCCGUAUCGGAAGGUGCGGCUGGAUCACC